AUUGAUAUGGGGACGUACAGUAAUGACAUGAACUGGUGAGUAAUCUCUUGAUUUUGCAAUACCACCUAGGGAUAGGGGUAGGACGAUCAAUUGCGCUAACUUCUGUUUAUAAUGCGGUAUUAAUUACUAGGGGAGGCUAGGGAUAGCAAGCUAGUAGUUAAUAUUAGGCCUUUUUCGCCGAGGGAUCGGGUUGAGGGGAGGCUAAGAAAGUCGCAUAACAAUUGAAUCAAUCAACUAAUAUUCAAGGGUAGUAUGUAAGAGAGAGUGGAAUAGAUGAAAUUGUUAGUACCCAACAACAUCCAUUCCUCCAUUGUUUUCGCUUGUCAAUUGAAUCAACUUUAUUUUUGCAUGUUAAUAUUUUUGUUCUCAAAAUCUAAUUUAUUAAUUUUUAUUUCUCAAGUCUUAUUAUUUUAAUUCACGCGAACGAGAAAGCCAUAU
rnacentral:lncRNA from 1 species